rnacentral:rRNA from 1 species
CCUACGGGUGGCAGCAGUGGGGAAUAUUGCACAAUGGGGGGAACCCUGAUGCAGCGACGCCGCGUGAGUGAAGAAGUCAUUCGUUAUGUAAAGCUCUAUCAGCAGGGAAGCAACUGACGGUACCUGAGUAAGAAGCCCCGGCUAACUACGUGCCAGCAGCCGCGGUAAUACGUAGGGGGCAAGCGUUAUCCGGAUUUACGGGUUGUAAAGGGAGCGUAGACGGCAGAGCAAGUCCGGAGGGAAAGGCGGGGGCCCAACCCCCGGACUGCUCUGGAAACUGUGAGGCUGGAGUGCGGGAGAGGUAAGUGGAAUUCCUGGUGGAGCGGUGAAAUGCGUAGAUAGCAGGAGGAACACCAGCGGCGAAGGCGGCGUACUGGACUGUAACUGACGUUGAGGCUCGAAAGCGUGGGGAGCAAACAGGAUUAGAUACCCGGGUAGUC